rnacentral:tRNA from 1 species
GGGGCUAUAGUUUACCAGGGAAAACCGCACACUUGCACUGUGCAGAAUCCAGUUCGAGGCUGGAUAGCUCCACCA